rnacentral:rRNA from 1 species
GGUUAAGCGACUAAGCGUACACGGUGGAUGCCCUGGCAGUCAGAGGCGAUGAAGGACGUGCUAAUCUGCGAUAAGCGUCGGUAAGGUGAUAUGAACCGUUAUAACCGGCGAUUUCCGAAUGGGGAAACCCAGUGUGUUUCGACACACUAUCAUUAACUGAAUCCAUAGGUUAAUGAGGCGAACCGGGGGAACUGAAACAUCUAAGUACCCCGAGGAAAAGAAAUCAACCGAGAUUCCCCCAGUAGCGGCGAGCGAACGGGGAGGAGCCCAGAGCCUGAAUCAGUGUGUGUGUUAGUGGAAGCGUCUGGAAAGGCGCGCGAUACAGGGUGACAGCCCCGUACACAAAAAUGCACAUAUUGUGAGCUCGAUGAGUAGGGCGGGACACGUGGUAUCCUGUCUGAAUAUGGGGGGACCAUCCUCCAAGGCUAAAUACUCCUGACUGACCGAUAGUGAACCAGUACCGUGAGGGAAAGGCGAAAAGAACCCCGGCGAGGGGAGUGAAAAAGAACCUGAAACCGUGUACGUACAAGCAGUGGGAGC